ensembl:lncRNA
UCUGUUGGUGUUAACUCUAUUCUUAAAAUUACCCAAAGAACUCAUUCUUAUUCUAGAAACAGGACAAAAUUCAGAAAAACAAAUUGAAGUAAUAAUAAGCCCAGAGAUCAUCUUUGUUAGCAUUUUGUUACAUGUAUUUUUCUUUUUGUGUAUGUUGCUCAGUAGUCUUUUUCUUUUAAGUGAGUAUAAUUUAGGUAUCUUUGUUUGUUAAUAAAUACACCUUGAUACAGUCAUUUUAAAGGAUGGCUGCAUUGUAUUGUCCAGGAGGUAGAAAUUUCUCCCUACUCUAGUGGUAGGGAUUUUUAAUAAGUUUAUAUCUUUUGCAGGAAUGGCAAGUUCCAGGGCUCUUUCAGUAAAGCAAGAAAGCUGGAGAGGCAAAGCAGAGAGGACGUUGUAGAUAGUGAAGCAACAUUCAACCGGAAAAUGUAGCAAUUGCAUAAAAACCCAGAAAACAAAAGAAAACAGAACUGAUACUUCCUUGCUUGCUCUUACUGUAGAAGCACUUUUUUUGUUUUUGGUAGAACAAAUUUUUAAAAAUCGAGUCAUCAGAUUGUUCCAAGGGCUUACCAAGCAGGAGGAAAAUUACUGUCUGUGCGUUGAUUCCCAGUGACCCCUCUGCCUUGGGUCCCCGUAUAGGAGGGACUGGGGAGGCAUCCUGAAGUCUCCAGGCUCAAGUUCUCCUCUGGAAGAAGGAAAAGGCUUGGAUGAGUGACCCAGAGCUUGGGCGUCUCCUCCCUUUACUUCAUGCAGGUGCCUGGACCUUGAAUCCGGGAGGAAAGGCAUUGAGGCUGACAGUGGAUUUCUAGUUCUUUUUUUCCCCAAGAACUUGACAUUUCCCCUCCCUCUGGUGCCCACAACUACGGAAGCAGCCUUGGCUGGCACAUGGCAUCUCUUCGGGACUCAAGAGUCACUACAGCUUCCAGGUAAGAUUUCAGGUCCUGAGGGUCCCUGCCUCCUGCAUUUUGGGAAGACAUUUUAAGUAACAAGAGAGCAACUAACAAACUACUUGCUGUCAGAUGGUAGUUGUUAUAUAUACAGACAGCCUGAAUCUCAGCUUGCCUUCACUUGUGAAGCCUGCCUCUGAGCCCCAGCCCCAAAUACAUACAGAUAUGUCAUCUGAUUGCCUUGUUACUUAAAUUUGUUAACUUUUGAGAGCAAUAUCAUGGAGACUCAGAAAAGGAAGAUUCUGGGAUUGUUAAACUAGCUAAAAGUUUUUACCAGUUCUCAAAUGAUUUCUGAAAUGAUCACAUUUGGAGACAUAUUACAUGCAACUUUUCUACCUCUUAGAGCAUGAAAUGACCAUUCCAAAUGGUAAUUAAUGGUGCCAGGAAGUGAAUCCUAUUCUUGCUAGGUGCAAACCCCUUAAGACUUCAUCUGCUUCAAAGUAAUUGACCUGGACUUCUUUAUUUACCUAAGUUAAUGGUUCUUUCCAGUGUCCCAGUGUUCACGGGAUAUGUAGUAGGCAUUUUCUUUUUUUUAAUAAGGAGAAAAAAAUAUUGAGAAAGCAUAACUAGAGUUUGUUCUGAGUCUGUUCCUUUUUUUUUUCUAUCACAAUUCUAUCAAUUCUCUCGCCAAUAUUUUCUGAUUUCUUUCUUAGUUCCAAAGAUUUUCUUCUAAUUUAUUCCACCCUCAAAUUCCGCCAAGUAACAAUGUCCCAUUCUCUUCCCAGAGUCUUUCCAGUCAACUUCUAACUUUGCUUCCUCCUCAUUUCUUUCAUCCCAUGACUUCUACCCUUUCCCAUAAUCAUAACUGGGUGGGCUUCCGCCAUCCAUGGAGUAGUGUGACUCAGUGGGAGAUCUGAUACAUUCCCCAAUCCUUACAGUUUUCAGUAACCAAAUUCUGUUUGCAGGUGGCCCAACAUCCUCUUUACUUUUGAAUGUUUUUUCCCAAUCCCUUGACAUGAUGGAAAUUUCCUCAGCUCGCUGAGAGAGGUACUGCUGUGUCAUAAUAUUCAAAGUUCUUUCACAUCUCCAAUCUGUUGUCCUUCUUAAUACCUUUUCCCGACCUUAACUCUGUUCUGACUUGUUUUCAUUCUACAUACCUGGUGUUUUCCUACCCCUUGCUGGAGAAGGCAUCACAGUAAAGCUAUCUAGAUGGUCAGCCACCAGAAGCACACAAGGAUUUCACAAGACCAUGAUCCUAGGCCUGACUGGAGAGUAAGGACAUCCUACAGUUGCACAUAAACAUGUUCCCAUUUUCCUUUACACAAGUUUGUGUCAGUUACUGGGCUUCCCUGUGGCUCAGCUGGUAAAGAAUCCACCUGCAACGCGGGAGACCUGGAUUUGAUCCCUGGGUUGGGAAAAUCCCCUGAAGAAGGGAACGGCUACCCACUCCAGUAUUCUGGCCUGGAGAAUUCCGUGGACUAUAUUCCAUGGGGUCACAAAGAGUCAGACACGGCUGAGCAUGUGUGUGUGUGUGUGUGUGUCAGUUACUAGUAGAACAUUUUUUCAAAUUUUUACAUAAUUGAAUUGUAUUUUGGGUUACUUCAUCUUCAGAAUUCAUUUAAUUGGCUUUUCCCCAGGUUUUUAGUUAGAACUAAACAAAAGCUAUUGUAGACUAGAAAAUCUAUCAUGAUUUCAUUGCAAGUUGGUUUCACAAGCUGCAUGCUUGAAAAUACAGGCAUUCCCCGGUGGCUCAGACAGUGAAGAGUCUGCCUGUGAUUCGGGAGAUGUGGGUUUGAUCCCUGGGUCAGG